UACGGAGGGUGCAAGCGUUGUUCGGAAUUAUUGGGCGUAAAGGGCAGGUAGGUGGUCCCAAAAGUCUACUGUGAAAUCCCCGGGCUUAACUCGGGAAGUGCGGUAGAUACUCUGGGACUAGAGUACUGGAGGGGUUCGUGGAAUUCCCGGUGUAGCGGUGAAAUGCGUAGAUAUCAGGAGGAACACCGGUGGCGAAGGCGGCUCUCUGGACCACAACUGACGCUGAGGCGCGAAAGCUAGGGGAGCAAACAGG
rnacentral:rRNA from 1 species